rnacentral:lncRNA from 1 species
AUGUGAUACAUUUACACAAUGGAGUACUACUCAGUAGAAAAAAAAAACAAUGGAAUUUUGAAAUUUGCAGGAAAAUGGAUGGAACUCGAAGAAACCAUUCUGAGUGAGGUAACCCAAUCACAAAAAGACAAACAUGAUACUUCCCAGAAGAAGAGACCAAGGCCUACAGGUGGAUCUCUAGGAACUUCCUCAUUCCCAAACUCCUCACUUGCCUUUCUACAGAGGCCUAGCUAGCUUUUUCUCCUUGAAGAGCCUUCAUUCAUUCCUGCAGGAGAGUGCCUGACCAUUGCUGUUUGAAACACACAGUCCUGUCUACUGAGGUCAGACCCUGAGCUGGUGGAGCAGACUCAACUAGGAGGGACCCGGAGACUCCAGCCCUGGGCUGUGAUGUAGCAACAGCUCCAUGUCAUGUAGCUGGCAGGGCCAGAAUUCAAUUAGGAACCACCUGAGGACUCUAGCCCCAGGCUGAGACCCAGCAACCUCUCCACGGCACGCCAUGCCUUGCCAUGCAGCUGCCGGUGGCAUGGUUCAACCAGGAGCCACCUGGGGACUCUAGCCUCGCACCACGAUACAGCAACAGCAACAGCUCUGUGCCAUGCCAUUCAUCUGGCCAGGGGAAUGACUCAACCAAGUGCCCCCUGGUGCCUAUGGUGCCUGGCAGUCAGAUACCACUAUGGAAGGAACCACAAACUAGGAGGCCUGUCCAGAGAGGAGAACCUGGGACUAUGGUACUUAGCCUGUGGCUGUAGGGUCCUCUCACACCAUGCCACGAGACAGUGUUGGGGCCAGAGAAGAACCUGAAGACUAAUUCCUUUUAAAACUACAUAUUUUCGGGGUCUUGGAGGGGGGAGCAUUCCAGAAGGAGCUGCCAAUCCAACCUGGGCCUGAAUCGGCAGAGCAGAGGCAUGGGAUUCUAACCCCGACCGGAAGCAGAACUCCAGCCAAGCCAGCACACAAUACCAUAAGGCCAGGGUGGAUGGAAAGCAGCCAAAGGCAGCAACCAGGAGCCUGCCAUGCCCAGCGGUUGGGCACUGUGAUGAUCUCCUUGUGAUGAAGAAGCAUGGCCCAACCCUGUGUCAUGGUGACCUAAAUGAAACUAGGAGACCCACACACAGACCUGGGGCUGCCUACCCCAGGGCAUCGAAGAGAAAAUACUCACCCUGUACCUUGCAGCACCAGCCAGAAGGCCACUGUUAGAGGGAGCAGAGGGACCCCUAUGAGUGAGUUGGAGUCUCCUGCAGCCUAGGAGAAACUGCUAUACUCAUGUUCAUUUGAGAAGACCUCUGACUGCUCGUGCUCACCCGGUACCCUGACUGUACAGUGGGACAAGGCCACUGUCUCCCUAUGGAAUGUCAGAAACCCAUGAAGUCUUCCAACAUGACCGCCUAGAGCUGAAGGAGAAUAACAGACAUGCUGAAGAGGACGGGAAAGUCCACGGCAUUUUGCCUUGCCAGCCUGGGCCUCCUUGGUCCCCGACCGUGGCUGCUCAUUUCUGGGUCCCGGAGAAGCCUGGCUUUCAAGACUCAGUCCCACACCAGGCCAAUCCCGGACAGUGGACGAAGGUCCAGCUCCUCAUUCCUGGAGGCUUCACCGGCUCAGCGUCUCGCGCGGGAGGCUUCUGCGCAUGCGGUCUGUCGGGGCGUCCCAGCCUCAUCCGGACCCCUGCUCACCGCCAAGAACGUCACCAGAACUAGGACGCCCCGCCCCGGCGGUGGGAGGUGCUGAUGGCGAUCGGGACACUCAGAACUUUGGGGUUCCCCAGCUGCCGCCCACGUGACCGUCUGAUCCUCCGAGGGUGCGGUCACCCUCAGAGACCCUGUCUCAGUGUCCUCAGUCGAG